rnacentral:rRNA from 1 species
UACGGAGGGUGCGAGCGUUGUUCGGAAUCACUGGGCGUAAAGCGCGUGUAGGCGGCUCGCUAAGUCUGGUGUGAAAGCCCGGGGCUCACCCCCGGAAGUGCAUCGGAUACUGUUGAGCUCGAGUCCCGGAGAGGAGAGUGGAAUUCCUGGUGUAGCGGUGAAAUGCGUAGAUAUCAGGAGGAACACCGGUGGCGAAGGCGGCUCUCUGGACGGUGACUGACGCUGAGACGCGAAAGCGUGGGGAGCAAACAGG